GAAAUGCGAUAAGUAAUGUGAAUUGCAGAAUUCAGUGAAUCAUCGAAUCUUUGAACGCACAUUGCGCCCGCCAGUAUUCUGGCGGGCAUGCCUGUUCGAGCGUCAUUUCAACCAUCAAGCCCCGCGCUUGUGUUGGGGACCUGCGGCUGCCGCAGGCCCUGAAAACCAGUGGCGGGCUCGCUGUCACACCGAGCGUAGUAGAUUUCUCAUCUCGCUCAGGGCGUGCUGCGGGUUCCGGCCGUAGAAAAGCCUUAUUUUACCCAAGGUUGACCUCGGAUCAGGUAGGAAGACCCGCUGAACUUAAGC
rnacentral:misc_RNA from 1 species